GGUCCUAGGGUGUAACACGUGAGAUUGCAAAUCUCAAGAGGCAGAAGGAGUUCUGCUGGGACUU
rnacentral:tRNA from 1 species